UUACCGCCGGUUCAACUGGUGGUACCUUGCUACGGUACAUCUUCUGCCGUUUCAAACGGCGGUACAGGUAUAGAUUUGCAAUUUUUUUGUUUGGCGAUAUAUUUUUGCAAAAUACUAAAAUAAAAAAUAUAAAAAAAUCCCAAAUGCCAUACUGGUUCCACUUCCAACCAAGCAAGACUAACACUUGCAGCCCACUUAUCGUCAGUUCAUUAGCGCACACAAAAUUUUGCCAUGCAAAUAGUGGAAAACUAUAAUUUUGCCUCGUGUUGUUUUCUGAUUGCUCAUCCUCACCACUAUUGCUACCUCUUUUGCCUUGGUCUUUCUGAUCCUGUCCUUCCUCACCUUUGCAAGAUGAGAGAGAACGGCGGUGGGACGAGGGGAGCCACAAGGAAGGCGU
rnacentral:lncRNA from 1 species